rnacentral:rRNA from 1 species
AUACGGAGGGUGCAAGCGUUACUCGGAAUCACUGGGUGUAAAGCGCGCGCAGGCGGGCUGAUAAGUUGGAUGUGAAAGCCUACGGCUCAACCGUAGAACUGCAUCCAAAACUGUCAGUCUAGAGUCUGGGAGGGGAAGAUGGAAUUAGUUGUGUAGGGGUAAAAUCCGUAGAGAUAACUAGGAAUACCAAAAGCGAAGGCGAUCUUCUGGAACAGUACUGACGCUGAGGCGCGAAAGCGUGGGGAGCAAACAGGAUUAGAAACCCCAGUAGUCC